GUUUUCAAAAUUUUACUUCAAUAAAAUGCAAAUAUGUAAAAAACAUUGUUCAAGAAAAAGUAUAUUCAGAUGGAGGACAAAUGAAGCUGCCUAGCUAUAUAUGGCUGCCUAUAUAUGAGUACCAGCUCUGGGACUGCAAUCACAUUUUGGUGCAUACAUCGAUGAUAAUAUAGAAUCUAUCUACAUUUUGUAAUUGAUUAAUCCAUAGACCGUCACAAUUGCCAUGAUAAGGCAAUGAUCAAUGUGAGGUUCCACAAUCAUAGUUAACACAUCAUAUCCUAAUGCGAUUCCUGAAGAUAAUUGCUUCUGCUUCACCUCAGCAACAAUAUCUCCAUCCAAGUCUACGAUCCUGAAAGCUGCUUUACGUCCCAAUUUCACAACCCAGUAUUUAUCAAACCCUACAGUAACUUGACAGGCUGAAUUUCCCAUACAAAUUCCGCAAUAUUUUUUCAUUUGAAACCAUGGCUUCUCCUUGUCUAUGUUGGCAGGAUUCCAUCUGUACCCAUACCAACGUCCAAAAACUAGUAAUAAAGUCUUUCUUCUUAUGGUUACAAGAACUCUGCCUCGAAGAUCCAUGAGAUGCACCUCAUUGUUGCACUUGGUACCAUAGUUUUCGACGCGGUAAAUGAUCUCACCAUUAGAAUCAAAGACAGUGCAGCCAUUAGUAUGGCAGACUAAUGAUUUCAUCCAAAGAGUAAAUGUUUGUCCCUUGAAAGUCAUGAAAGGAGAAAAUAUGGGUUUCUGAGGGAAAAUCUUAGCCAUUUACAAGGGCGAAGAAGACUUUAUUUUGAAGAUGGAGAGAGGUAUAUGAAACAGGAGGCUUUAUU
rnacentral:misc_RNA from 1 species